CAUUCAGCUUUCGUUCGGUCGGGACGUUUCAGGAAACGGUUUUUCCCGUGUUCGUGAGUGAGCGAUUUUUUUUCUCCUUAAUUUCUGGAUUCUGUUACCCACGAUUUUGGCUUUAACUUUUGUGUGUGCAUACGGGAUGGUUCUUCUUGUUCUUCGCAAGUGAAACGCGCCGAAAAGAGAAAAGCGAACAUCGGCCCUGGACCGGAGAACCAUUCAUCAGUUUAGUGCGGGAAAGCAAGAAUCGAGUCGAGAAGGGUCGUCGGUCGGAAAGAGCCGAGAGUGCGGUGUUUUGUGCAAUCUCCUCUCCGGAUCGAGUCGGAGUCCCUGUUUUGUAUUAUGUGGAAAUGGUAUUUUUUCUGCACUGUGCCUGAUAUAACAAAAGGAUUAAUGAAUUUCGCUCCGAGAACAGAGUCGUGAAUUCCGAUAACCAUUAAUCUCGGUCGUGCGGGAAGAAACGGUUGCAGCGACGGGUCGCCCCCGGGUAACGACAACGGUUGAAAGUGGGCGAAUUCCUGCAGGAAACGUUCAUGUGUGUGCCGUGCUACAGAGCGGAGUGAUUUUGUACAUGCUUGGCCGUAAAAAUGAAACGAAAGUUUACCUUGCCACAGAAAUGUUUACCGUUGGCAGAAAGUGUGUGAAAGAAGUUCUAAAGUGAAGCAGAGAGCUGUGGAAAAUUUCAUUAACAGUUUUGGAAUUCUUCGGGAUAAGCAACGAAAUCGGAUUUGGGAUACCGAGAGCUGAACCAGCAACAUCAAUAGAAAGCGGAUAAAUGAAAGGUUCACAGUGAGCGAACAACUCGCCUACUUUGAUGAGAGUGCAAAUGUGACUAUUGUCCGCUUCACUACCCGAAACGACGAAACUAUGAGCAUGGAAGAGUGUCGCCGCCAUUUGAAGAUGUUGAAAAGAUUCGCUCGAUAAGUGAAGUUUUUUUUUCUGAAGUUGUGAGAAGUGAACAGUGAGAUUCAAAUCCUAAACCAGGGCUUCAUAAAUUCGCUUUGAGAGCCGACUCAGAAGUGCGGAUAUAAAUCAAAACGCGUUCGAGAAAAGUCGAGCGCAAAACGGGGAUUCGAAGGAAGAUUUUCAGUUGCACUUCAGUAGGGCGGGAAAGAAGAAAAGUGCGGAGAAAAACGAGCGGAAAGGAUAUAAAAUUGAUAUUUAUUACGAGUGUGUCCAUCGAGAAGUGGAACGGGGCCGGGAAACGUUUCGUAAGAGGAAGAAAUCUGCACUUGAGAGAAUCGAAGUGAGAAGAGAUAUAAAGUACACGCAUAUAUACAUACAGAUCAAGUGAAGUGACCACCACUCGGGGCGCCGUUGAAGAAAUCGGAAGCAAAAAGUGCGACAACAACGCAACGGGUGUGGGGAAGGUUGAAUCUGGUCCGUUACGAGUGUUUGGUGAAGUGACGAAGUGUUUCGAUAAAAUAUACGCCGAUUUCGGCUUCGGGAGUUUACUAUCCAGCAGACAAGUGUGUGGUUUUUGAGGGCGUGGGAGUACGAGAAACGUUUUUCCCACUAUGAUUGGAUAUAGUUUUAUUAUUGCAGACAUCGAUCGAAAUCCACCAAUCAGUAGCAGUCGCCGCCACCGCAGUACCAGAAGUGACGUGUGCCGUGCCAAGGCAUGUUGGGGCCCACCGCCAAUGGCCGUUUAAUGGGACCAGGAGCCAUCGGUUUGCCCGGAUCGGUACACCAUCGGAACCUGUGGCCAUCGGCCGCGGCGGCAGCUAUUGCAGCAAGUUCCAGCAGCACAGCCAGCAGCAGCAGCAGUAGCCGUUCGUUCGAGUUUCAGACCAGCAAUGGCGAAGUGACGGAAUCGUUGUUCGCAGCAGGCGGGUAUAACACACCCCCGGCUAGCUCGCCCUUCCUGUCCUGUUCCCCACUGGAACUGGUCACCAAAAAUUUUCACAGUACCGGCGCUGCAGUCACCUUUAGUCAAG